GUCCAUGAUGGCUUUCGAAGGACCCUCCGAGUCAUCAAGAAGACAAUGUGCCUGCCUCUGUUGUAUGUACAUCCGUGUUUAUGAUCAGAGGAUGGGAAGAACUCUGCACAUUUUCUAUCCAGGGAACAGGCUGAACAAUUAUGAGCUUCCGAAAAGAGAGGAUGAGCUACAGAGAUAGUAGAAAGACACUCUCUACCUGCAAAGAAGAUGGUCCACGCGCAGGAGAGAAAUUGUUGGCCAUUGUACAGUUUGUGAAUUUGGGGUCCACAAAGGACUUGGAAUCUCAUUUGGAAAUCUCAAAUGACUACUGUCCCUUGAAAAUCUAAUGUAGAUUGUUUGAGAAAGUAGUAGUAUAUAAAACUUAUGUUUGGGGAAGACUAGAUGAGAAAUUCCCUUUUAGUUUUGUAAUAUAUGAGCUUUUUAUUGGACACCAAAUAUGUGUGUGUGUG